UACGGAGGAGGCAAGCGUUAUCCGGAAUUAUUGGGCGUAAAGCGUCCGCAGGUGGCACUUCAAGUCUGUCGUCAAAGACUGGGGCUUAACCCUGGAAAGGCGGUGGAAACUGAAGCGCUAGAGUGCGGUAGGGGUAGAGGGAAUUCCCGGUGUAGUGGUGAAAUGCGUAGAGAUCGGCAGGAACACCCGUGGCGCAAGCGGCCACCUAGCCCAAUCCUGACGCUGAGGCGCGACAGCGUGGGGAGCGAACGGG
rnacentral:rRNA from 1 species